GACGAACGCUGGCGGCGUGCUUAACACAUGCAAGUCGAACGGAAAGGCCCUGCUUUUGUGGGGUGCUCGAGUGGCGAACGGGUGAGUAACACGUGAGUAACCUGCCCUUGACUUUGGGAUAACUUCAGGAAACUGGGGCUAAUACCGGAUAGGAGCUCCUGCUGCAUGGUGGGGGUUGGAAAGUUUCGGCGGUUGGGGAUGGACUCGCGGCUUAUCAGCUUGUUGGUGGGGUAGUGGCUUACCAAGGCUUUGACGGGUAGCCGGCCUGAGAGGGUGACCGGCCACAUUGGGACUGAGAUACGGCCCAGACUCCUACGGGAGGCAGCAGUGGGGAAUAUUGCACAAUGGGCGGAAGCCUGAUGCAGCAACGCCGCGUGCGGGAUGACGGCCUUCGGGUUGUAAACCGCUUUCGCCUGUGACGAAGCGUGAGUGACGGUAAUGGGUAAAGAAGCACCGGCUAACUACGUGCCAGCAGCCGCGGUGAUACGUAGGGUGCGAGCGUUGUCCGGAUUUAUUGGGCGUAAAGGGCUCGUAGGUGGUUGAUCGCGUCGGAAGUGUAAUCUUGGGGCUUAACCCUGAGCGUGCUUUCGAUACGGGUUGACUUGAGGAAGGUAGGGGAGAAUGGAAUUCCUGGUGGAGCGGUGGAAUGCGCAGAUAUCAGGAGGAACACCAGUGGCGAAGGCGGUUCUCUGGGCCUUUCCUGACGCUGAGGAGCGAAAGCGUGGGGAGCGAACAGGCUUAGAUACCCUGGUAGUCCACGCUGUAAACGGUGGGUACUAGGUGUGGGGUCCAUUCCACGGGUUCCGUGCCGUAGCUAACGCUUUAAGUACCCCGCCUGGGGAGUACGGCCGCAAGGCUAAAACUCAAAGGAAUUGACGGGGCCCCGCACAAGCGGCGGAGCAUGCGGAUUAAUUCGAUGCAACGCGUAGAACCUUACCUGGGUUUGACAUGGAUCGGGAGUGCUCAGAGAUGGGUGUGCCUCUUUUGGGGUCGGUUCACAGGUGGUGCAUGGCUGUCGUCAGCUCGUGUCGUGAGAUGUUGGGUUAAGUCCCGCAACGAGCGCAACCCUUGUUCACUGUUGCCAGCACGUUAUGGUGGGGACUCAGUGGAGACCGCCGGGGUCAACUCGGAGGAAGGUGGGGAUGACGUCAAGUCAUCAUGCCCCUUAUGUCCAGGGCUUCACGCAUGCUACAAUGGCUGGUACAGAGAGUGGCGAGCCUGUGAGGGUGAACGAAUCUCGGAAAGCCGGUCUCAGUUCGGAUUGGGGUCUGCAACUCGACCUCAUGAAGUCGGAGUCGCUAGUAAUCGCAGAUCAGCAACGCUGCGGUGAAUACGUUCCCGGGGCU
rnacentral:rRNA from 1 species